AAUAUGAUUGUCAGGUGAGCCGGGACAGCCUUCUUCCUCCGCCCAGCCGCCACAGUGAUUGUCGUCAAGUCUGCCACAGGAGGAUAUUUUUGAGGUUAACCUGCUCCCUUUCCUCGCAGGUUGUUUAUCAAUGUUUGUGUAAUUUUAUUAACUCCUAGAAUUUUCGCAUGUGUUAGAAGUAUUUAUUUGAUUAUGGUCUGUAAUAUUAUUAUCAUGUUGGACCUGUAAACGUAUAAUGAUAUGCAUGUUUGAUGGAUUGGAUGAGGGAGCUGAGCUCCCAUUUAUUAUUAUGUUGAUGAGUAUGUGGAGGGUGAGCUGAGCUCCCCAAUUGACUAUA